UUGGUAAUUUAUCAGGCGAUAAAUUUAAACCAACUAUUAUCUAAAUCCUUCAAUUGAAGCUCUGAUUGGGAACAUAUUAUGCUAAUGAUUUCCUUGCUGACUGUUUGUCUUAUUUCAUUGUCUUACAAUUUGAUGAAAUGCCUCACCUCCUGCUAAUGAUUUCCUUCAUUCUAUCAGGCAAAUUCUCUUUCCAACACACCAAAUACAUAUGAACAAGACAUCUCGAUUAUUGGGCGAACACUAUCGAAAUUCGAUGAAGAUAAUCUGAUUCCAUGUUUCGGAUUUGGAGAUGCAUCAACACAUGAUCAAGACGUCUUUGUUUCUCUCCUGACGAGAAACCUUGCAAUGGAUUUGAAGAAGCUUUUGGACAAUGCAGGGAACUUGUACCACAUUUUCGUUUAGCUCGGAAGCUGCUAUGCCUUGUUCGUCCAUUUAAUUGCAUUGUUCAUAUGUGUUUACACUAAUUCUUAACAGGAUCAACACCCUUUGCACCGAUGUGAAGCAAAGUGGUGGACAAUACCACGUCCUGUUGAUAAUUGCAGAUGGGAAGUUGCAGGACGCCAUGGCAGCCUUGCCCUGCUCCCCCAACAGCGCCCACCUGCCCCUUUCCUUGCGCGACGCGAGAUGGAUCGGCGAAUCCAUGGCAGCUUGGAUGCUCUGGAACCUUACAUGAGAAAGAGAACAGUUGAACUUCACUGGGGCAAGCACCACCAAGAUUAUGUGGAUGGCUUGAAUAAGUACCUGGCUACCAGCCCUCUAUAUGUAUAUACACUCUGGACGAUCUGAUAAAAGAAGCCCACAACAAUGGUCUUGAAUCAUCACUUUUUUCUGGGAAUCGAUGCAACCAGAAGGUGGUGGCUUACCUGAGGGAGGUGUGCUAUAGCAGAUUGAAAAGGAUUUUGGCUUGUUUACUAAUUUUAGGGAAGAGUUUAUUCGUUCAGCCUUACAACUAUUGGGGUCUGGUUGGGUUUGGCUUGCUUGUAAGUUUCUUUCUAUUUUCUUUGAAGUACAGACACCACCGGUUCAAACUACCGAUUUCCUGAUUGCUCUUUCUAAAGCUAA